rnacentral:rRNA from 1 species
GCUAGUGUACCAGUUGUCCCGCCAGGGGCACCGCUGGGUAGCUAUGUUCGGACGGGAUAAGCGCUGAAAGCAUCUAAGCACGAAGCCCACCUCAAGAUGAGACUUCUUCUAAGGGUCGUAGAAGAUUACUACGUUGAUAGGCUACAGGUGUAAAGUCAGCAAUGGCAAAGCCGAGUAGUACUAAUUACCCGUCGACUUUCGAUC